CAGUAGCCGCGGUAAUACGUAGGUGGCAGGCGUUGUCCGGAAUUAUUGGGCGUAAAGGGCUCGCAGGCGGUUUCUUAAGUCUGAUGUGAAAGCCCCCGGCUCAACCGGGGAGGGUCAUUGGAAACUGGGAAACUUGAGUGCAGAAGAGGAGAGUGGAAUUCCACGUGUAGCGGUGAAAUGCGUAGAGAUGUGGAGGAACACCAGUGGCGAAGGCGACUCUCUGGUCCGUAACUGACGCUGAGGAGCGAAAGCGUGGGGAGCGAACAGGAUUAGAUACCCCUGUAGUCCCUGUCUCUUAUAC
rnacentral:rRNA from 1 species